AGUGAACGCUGGCGGCGUGCCUAAUACAUGCAAGUCGAACGAAUUGGCGCACGGGUUAGUAAUAUAUAGUUAAUCUGCCCUACACACAGGAACAACAGUUGGAAACGGCUUCUAAUACCUCAUAGUGUAGGAUGAGACUAUAUCGUAUCAGCUAGGUGGUAAGGUAAUGGCUUACCAAGGCUAUGACGCGUAACUGGUCUGAUAGGAUGAUCAGGCACAUUGGAACUGAGACACGGUUCAAACUCCUACGGGAAGCAGCAGUAAGGAAUAGGGCGCAAUGGGGGAAACACUGAAGGAGGAACGCAGCGUGGAGGAUGACAAUUUUAGGAGCGUAAACACGUUUUAUAAGGAAAGCGGUACCUGAUGAAUAAGCACCGGCUAACUCCGUGCCAGCAGCCGCGGUAAUAC
rnacentral:rRNA from 1 species